CUCAAGGUUGACCUCGGAUCAGGUAGGAAUACCCGCUGAACUUAAGCAUAUCAAUAAGCGGAGGAAAAGAAACCAACAGGGAUUGCCCCAGUAACGGCGAGUGAAGCGGCAACAGCUCAAAUUUGAAAUCUGGCCCCAGGCCCGAGUUGUAAUUUGCAGAGGAUGCUUCUGGCGACGUGCCUUCCGAGUUCCCUGGAACGGGACGCCAUAGAGGGUGAGAGCCCCGUCCGGUCGUGCACCUAGCCUCUGUGAAGCUCCUUCGACGAGUCGAGUAGUUUGGGAAUGCUGCUCUAAAUGGGAGGUAUACGUCUUCUAAAGCUAAAUACCGGCCAGAGACCGAUAGCGCACAAGUAGAGUGAUCGAAAGAUGAAAAGCACUUUGAAAAGAGGGUUAAAUAGUACGUGAAAUUGCUGAAAGGGAAGCGCUUAUGACCAGACUUGGGCCGGUGAAUCAUCCGUCGUUCUCGGCGGUGCACUUUGCCGGCUCAGGCCAGCAUCAGUUCGCCUCGGGGGAUAAAGGCUUCGGGAAAGUAGCUCCUUCGGGAGUGUUAUAGACCGUUGCGUAAUACCCUGGGGCGGACUGAGGUACGCGUUCUGCAAGGAUGCUGGCGUAAUGGUCAUCAGUGACCCGUCUUGAAACACGGACCAAGGAGUCGUCUUCGUAUGCGAGUGUUCGGGUGUAAAACCCCUACGCGUAAUGAAAGUGAACGUAGGAGAGAGCUUCGGCGCAUCUCCGACCGAUCCUGAUGUUCUCGGAUGGAUUUGAGUAAGAGCAUACGGGGCCGGACCCGAAAGAAGGUGAACUAUGCCUGUAUAGGGUGAAGCCAGGGGAAACUCUGGUGGAGGCUCGCAGCGGUUCUGACGUGCAAAUCGAUCGUCAAAUA
rnacentral:rRNA from 1 species